rnacentral:rRNA from 1 species
UACAGAAGGCCCGAGCGUUAAUCGGAAUUACUGGGCUUAAAGGGUGCGCAGGCGGAUAAGUAGGCAUCUCGUGAAAGCCCCCGGCUCAACCGGGGAACUGCGGGGUGAACCACUUGUCUUGAGGAAGGUAGGGGUCAGUGGAACCAUGGGUGGAGCGGUGAAAUGCGUAGAUAUCCAUGGGAACGCCUAUGGCGAAGGCAACUGACUGGGCCUUUCCUGACGCUCAGGCACGAAAGCGUGGGGAGCAAAC